GACGAACGCUGGCGGCGUGCCUAAUACAUGCAAGUAGAACGCUGACUACUUUAGCUUGCUAGAGUAGAAGGAGUUGCGAACGGGUGAGUAACGCGUAGGUAACCUGCCUACUAGCGGGGGAUAACUAUUGGAAACGAUAGCUAAUACCGCAUAACAGUGUUUAACACAUGUUAGAUGCUUGAAAGAUGCAAAUGCAUCACUAGUAGAUGGACCUGCGUUGUAUUAGCUAGUUGGUGGGGUAACGGCCUACCAAGGCGACGAUACAUAGCCGACCUGAGAGAGUGAUCGGCCACACUGGGACUGAGACACGGCCCAGACUCCUACGGGAGGCAGCAGUAGGGAAUCUUCGGCAAUGGGGGCAACCCUGACCGAGCAACGCCUCGUGAGUGAAUAAGGGUUUCGGAUCUUAAAGCUCUGUUGUAAGAUAAGAACGUGUGUGAGAGUGGAAAGUUCACACAGUGUCGGUAACUUUCCAGAAAGGUACGGCUAAUUUCGUGCCAGCAUCCGCGGUAUACGCAGGUCCCGAGCGUUGUCCGGAUUUAUUGUGCUAAAAGCGAGCGCAGGCGUUUUAAUAAUUCUGAAUUUAUAGGCAUGGCUUAUCCUUUGUUCGCUUUGUAAACUGUUAUACUUGAGUGCAAAAUGUGAGAGUGGAUUCCUUGUGUAUUGUGAAAUGCGUAGAUUUGUGUUAUGAUUACUUGUGCUUGUGUGCUGUUUGUGCUGUUAUUGUGUUUUGUGUUUUGUGCUUUGUGUAUGUUGAAGUUUGAUCUGUUGUGGUGCCGUGUGAUAAUUUCCUUGUGAUGUGAGUCUGUGUGUUCUUCGCUACUUGUGGUUAAAAAAAUAAAUAUAUGUAUAUGUGUCUCUUUUUGCUCCCCCCUUAACUAGUCCUGUCACAUCCAUCACAGUCUGUGCUUGUGUUUCUGCCCCUGUGCUGAUCUAUCUAAGUGUGUGUGUGUGUUGUCAUCGUCCAGUGUGUGCGUAGGUGUGUGGCUGUGCCUGAG
rnacentral:rRNA from 1 species